rnacentral:sRNA from 1 species
CUGAUGUCAACCGCGUGGGGCAGCCAUUUGCUGCUUCUUGAUCCUGUCUCCAGGUUGCACCAUGCUGAUAUCAUGUGGUGUUAUAAAUAUCCACUGUGAUCCUUGCGUGACGGCGAAAUCUACUAGGGUGUCUAGGCUUAUCUUGCGGCUUACUGCAUCCAUGAAUACAUCAAACUCAUCCAUGGCCCUAAAAGGAGCCUCUGUCAUUCCGUGAAGAGCCAAGGUAAAACACAGUGUCGAAAAUGAUCUUUCUCCACCUAAGAGCAAGAGUAAACAUGUUGAGAAUAAGAGAGAAUCUUGUGAGAACCUCACCUCGACAGACAGAAGUCUUUCCUUAUAAUCAACAUUGAUAAACCCACUUAUCCCUUUCUUCCCUAGGUGCUCGUUGAACCUUAAAUACAAUCUGUCGCUUCAAAAGAGCAGCAUUUCUCUGAAAUUUCUUCCAUCGCAUGUCCAAAGCUUUUUGACACGA